UAAUGAGGAGAUUGGGGGCGGUCACGUGGUGGCCGGCGUUACAGUUUUUGAUUUAUUUUUAAUUUUAUUAUACAUAAGCACGGAUAACGAGCUGUGAGGCGUCUACGUGUAUGGGGCGAGGCUGGUGUCCAUAUUAUAGGUUACAUAGGUGGAAACAGCCAUAGACUCUCCAUUAGUAGUAAUACUGCUCUGUAUCACGUGUGUGGAGAGGGGUUCGGUGAAUGCGCAUAUGAAACUGAUGGGGUUCAAUACCUCCAACAAUGUUAAGAACCACUGGUAUAGAGUGUCAGCGCCGGCGGACCGCAAAAAACAGAAGGACGAGGAGGGCAGCGUUUGUGGGUGACAAUACAGUAGUAGUGAGG